GUCUGUGAUGAUACCACCCUGGCUGUGUCUGAUCUCAGAAGCUACGCAGAGUUGGGCCUGUUAGUACUUGAGGGUAUCUUUCACA
rnacentral:rRNA from 1 species